GUAAAUGUGGGAGGGGGCUUGCUCCCGAUAGCGGUGUUAACUGACCCACCGCUAUCAGGAGCAAGCCCCCUCCCACAUUUGA
rnacentral:misc_RNA from 1 species